UACAGAGGGGGCGAGCGUUGUUCGGAAUUACUGGGCGUAAAGGGCGCGUAGGCGGCCAACUAAGUCAGACGUGAAAUCCCAUGGCUCAACCAUGGAACUGCGUCUGAUACUGGAUGGCUUGAGUUCGGGAGAGGGAUGCGGAAUUCCAGGUGUAGCGGUGAAAUGCGUAGAUAUCUGGAGGAACACCGGUGGCGAAGGCGGCAUCCUGGACCGACACUGACACUGAGGAGCGAAAGCCAGGGGAGCAAACGGG
rnacentral:rRNA from 1 species